UACGAAGGGGGCUAGCGUUGCUCGGAAUUACUGGGCGUAAAGGGCGCGUAGGCGGGUUAUCAAGUUGGAGGUGAAAGCCCAGGGCUCAACCUUGGAAUUGCCUUCAAAACUGAUAGCCUAGAGUAUGGAAGAGGUAAGUGGAACUCCGAGUGUAGAGGUGAAAUUCGUAGAUAUUCGGAAGAACACCAGUGGCGAAGGCGACUUACUGGUCCAUGACUGACGCUGAGGCUCGAAAGCGUGGGGAGCAAACAGG
rnacentral:rRNA from 1 species